GACGAACGCUGGCGGCGUGCCUAAUACAUGCGAGUAGAACGCUGAAGGAGGAGCUUGCUUCUCUGGAUGAGUUGCGAACGGGUGAGUAACGCGUAGGUAACCUGCCUGGUAGCGGGGGAUAACUAUUGGAAACGAUAGCUAAUACCGCAUAAGAGUAGAUGUUGCAUGACAUUUGCUUAAAAGGUGCAAUUGCAUCACUACCAGAUGGACCUGCGUUGUAUUAGCUAGUUGGUGGGGUAACGGCUCACCAAGGCGACGAUACAUAGCCGACCUGAGAGGGUGAUCGGCCACACUGGGACUGAGACACGGCCCAGACUCCUACGGGAGGCAGCAGUAGGGAAUCUUCGGCAAUGGACGGAAGUCUGACCGAGCAACGCCGCGUGAGUGAAGAAGGUUCUCGGAUCGUAAAGCUCUGUUGUAAGAGAAGAACGAGUGUGAGAGUGGAAAGUUCACACUGUGACGGUAUCUGACCAGAAAGGGACGGCUAACUACGUG
rnacentral:rRNA from 1 species